rnacentral:lncRNA from 1 species
ACAUCUUCAAGACAAGUCGGAACCGGGGGGUAGUAGCUGUUACACCCAAAAUCCAACAUUAGGCGCGCCUAAACAUAAGGCGCGCCCAGUUCGACUAUAACUCAAACGUCUCCAGAACUGAGAGCCUAGUCAACAACAAUUGGAAGAAUUUGCUUCACCAUCAGGGCGCGCCUCAUCCUCAUCUAAGACAUGGUAGAAGGCACGCUCGUCUCCUUCCACCUCGGCUUCCGCGACCUCUUAUUCAUCAACUCGGCUUCCAUGGCCUCUCCUUCAAACUCGGCUUCCGCGGCCUCUCCUCCAGCCUCGGCUUCCGCGGCCUCUCCUUCAGACUCGGC